UUACAGCUAUAGGAAAGUGCGCGAAAGUGAUCGAAUCAUUACAAGAGUAUCGAGACGAGCAAAUUGAUUACAUGAAGAAGUUGCAAGUCAGCAACACCGGCGACUUUACCAGCAUCAACUUGAACAGAUUACAGGGCGCCCUGACAGAUAGUGUGCUGCCAGGCCGUAUAACUCUUCGUUACUACAUCAAU